rnacentral:rRNA from 1 species
AAGGAAUCUUCCACAAUGGGCGAAAGCCUGAUGGAGCAAUGCCGCGUGCAGGAAGACGCUUUUCGGAGUGUAAACUGCUUUUCUGAAGGAAGAUUAUGACGGUACUUCAGGAAUAAGGAUCGGCUAACUACGUGCCAGCAGCCGCGGUAAUACGUAGGAUCCAAGCGUUAUCCGGAAUUACUGGGCGUAAAGCGUGCGCAGACGGUUUGAUAGGUCAGUUGCGAAAUCCCGUGGCUCAACCAUGUGGACUGUAAUUGAAACCAUCUGACUAGAGGUAGGUAGAGGCAAGUGGAAUUUCUGGUGUAGGGGUGACAUCCGUAGAUAUCAGAAGGAACACCAAUGGCGAAGGCAGCUUGCUGGGCCUUACCUGACGUUCAGGCACGAAAGCGUGGGGAGCAAAC